CUCCAUUCACUGUUUGACAGUGACUAACUUAUAGGAUCCACUUCAAUAGUUGGUUUCAAAAGUUAUAAAUAGUUCUAGAGCAUGAAUGGAUUCUAUAUAUGAUUAUAGAUCGAAUGCCUAAUAUUUCCACAUCCAACACAUAUGAUGCGAUCAAAGGAACUCAUUAAAAGUGGCCAAAUGAUCAUAUCAUCAUGUGGUAUUUU
rnacentral:lncRNA from 1 species